rnacentral:rRNA from 1 species
GACGAACGCUGGCGGCGUGCCUAAUACAUGCAAGUAGAACGCAGUUGCGAACGGGUGGGUAACGCGUAGGUAACUGCCUGGUAGCGGGGGAUAACUAUUGGAAACGAUAGCUAAUACCGCAUACUAACAGAUGGACCUACGUUGUAUUAGCUAGUUGGGGAGGUAACGGCUCACCAAGGCAACGAGACAAAGCCGACCUGAGAGGGUGAUCGGGCACACUGGGACUGGGACACGGCCCAUACUCCUACCGGAGGCAGCAGUAGGGAAGCUUCGGCAAUGGGGGGAAACCUGACCGAGCAACGCCGCGUGAGUGAAGAAGGUUUUCGGAGCGUAAAGCUCUGUUGUUAAGGAAGCGGUACUUAACCAGAAAGGGACGGCUAACUACGUGCCAGCAGCCGCGGUAAUAC